rnacentral:lncRNA from 1 species
GUCGACCGGGCCUCCCAACACCCACCAGUUAGAGCCGCUGUACCUAAAAAGAACACAAGCCCAGCGGUGCUGCCGGGUGGUCCAGCCACCACCCACCCGCGGCCCUGGGGGUUCUGGCAAGCACCGGCGCCGGGUGGCCCACACUGAAAUCCCUGGAGCUGUGGGGUGGAGAGAGGUGGAGCCGGUAGCCUUAAAGUGGCUUCCUCUGGCCCGCCCCUGGCCUGGCAGGGCUCUGGGAUCCGGUAUGACACAAAGAUGGGCAACAUCCGAGCCUGCCACUGUGCCUUCGCCGGGGAUCUUGCCCUGUUGAAUUCCUGUUUGAACUUCCUUCAAUGAUGGACUAUGAUCUGGAAGUAAGGUGAAAAGUGUGGAUUCUUCCAGACUAAUGUGGCUUCAUCAAGCAAGAUCACCUGAAGCAUUGGCCCAGGUGAUCCAACAUCCAAAACAGAUGGAUGAUGUAGCUUCAGACUACUACAGCUGGGAGUUGGCUGUGGUUCUGGGUUUUCUCUGUAUCCCCCUGGGAUUGACAGAGUCAAACAGCAGGAAGCAGUUUGGAGACAACCAUGCUCACAUUCCCAAAUAUUGUUUAAUAAUAUUCGUUUUCAUUUAAAAGGGGUUGG